rnacentral:rRNA from 1 species
GGUUAAGCGACUAAGCGUACACGGUGGAUGCCCUGGCAGUCAGAGGCGAUGAAGGACGUGCUAAUCUGCGAAAAGCGUCGGUAAGGUGAUAUGAACCGUUACAGCCGGCGAUGUCCGAAUGGGGAAACCCAGUGCAAUUCGUUGCACUAUCGUUAACUGAAUACAUAGGUUAACGAGGCGAACCGGGGGAACUGAAACAUCUAAGUACCCCGAGGAAAAGAAAUCAACCGAGAUUCCCCCAGUAGCGGCGAGCGAACGGGGAGCAGCCCGGAGUCUGAAUCAGCUUGUGUGUUAGUGGAAGCGUCUGGAAAGUCGCAGGGUACAGGGUGAUACUCCCGUACACUAAAACACACAGGUUGUGAACUCGAAGAGUAGGGCGGGACACGUGGUAUCCUGUCUGAAUAUGGGGGGACCAUCCUCCAAGGCUAAAUACUCCUGACUGACCGAUAGUGAACCAGUACCGUGAGGGAAAGGCGAAAAGAACCCCGGCGAGGGGAGUGAAAAAGAACCUGAAACCGUGUACGUACAAGCAGUAGGAGCCCACUAGUUGGGUGACUGCGUACCUUUUGUAUAAUGGGUCAGCGACUUAUAUUCUGUAGCAAGGUUAACCGUAUAGGGGAGCCGCAGGGAAACCGAGUCUUAACUGGGCGUUAAGUUGCAGGGUAUAGACCCGAAACCCGGUGAUCUAGCCAUGGGCAGGUUGAAGGUUGGGUAACACUAACUGGAGGACCGAACCGACUAAUGUUGAAAAAUUAGCGGAUGACUUGUGGCUGGGGGUGAAAGGCCAAUCAAACCGGGAGAUAGCUGGUUCUCCCCGAAAGCUAUUUAGGUAGCGCCUCGUGAACUCAUCUUCGGGGGUAGAGCACUGUUUCGGCUAGGGGGUCAUCCCGACUUACCAACCCGAUGCAAACUACGAAUACCGAAGAAUGUUAUCACGGGAGACACACGGCGGGUGCUAACGUCCGUCGUGAAGAGGGAAACAACCCAGACCGCCAGCUAAGGUCCCAAAGUCAUGGUUAAGUGGGAAACGAUGUGGGAAGGCCCAGACAGCCAGGAUGUUGGCUUAGAAGCAGCCAUCAUUUAAAGAAAGCGUAAUAGCUCACUGGUCGAGUCGGCCUGCGCGGAAGAUGUAACGGGGCUAAACCAUGCACCGAAGCUGCGGCAGCGACACUAUGUGUUGUUGGGUAGGGGAGCGUUCUGUAAGCCGUUGAAGGUGGCCUGUGAGGGUUGCUGGAGGUAUCAGAAGUGCGAAUGCUGACAUAAGUAACGAUAAUGCGGGUGAAAAACCCGCACGCCGGAAGACCAAGGGUUCCUGUCCAACGUUAAUCGGGGCAGGGUGAGUCGACCCCUAAGGCGAGGCCGAAAGGCGUAGUCGAUGGGAAACAGGUUAAUAUUCCUGUACUCGGUGUUACUGCGAAGGGGGGACGGAGAAGGCUAUGUUGGCCGGGCGACGGUUGUCCCGGUUUAAGCAUGUAGGCGGAUGUUCCAGGUAAAUCCGGAACGUCACUAACGCUGAGGUGUGAUGACGAGGCACUACGGUGCUGAAGUGACAAAUGCCCUGCUUCCAGGAAAAGCCUCUAAGCAUCAGGUAACAUCAAAUCGUACCCCAAACCGACACAGGUGGUCAGGUAGAGAAUACCAAGGCGCUUGAGAGAACUCGGGUGAAGGAACUAGGCAAAAUGGUGCCGUAACUUCGGGAGAAGGCACGCUGAUGGUAAGUGAAGCGACUUGCUCGUGGAGCUGAAAUCAGUCGAAGAUACCAGCUGGCUGCAACUGUUUAUUAAAAACACAGCACUGUGCAAACACGAAAGUGGACGUAUACGGUGUGACGCCUGCCCGGUGCCGGAAGGUUAAUUGAUGGGGUUAUCCGUAAGGAGAAGCUCUUGAUCGAAGCCCCGGUAAACGGCGGCCGUAACUAUAACGGUCCUAAGGUAGCGAAAUUCCUUGUCGGGUAAGUUCCGACCUGCACGAAUGGCGUAAUGAUGGCCAGGCUGUCUCCACCCGAGACUCAGUGAAAUUGAACUCGCUGUGAAGAUGCAGUGUACCCGCGGCAAGACAGAAAGACCCCGUGAACCUUUACUAUAGCUUGACACUGAACACUGGUCCUUGAUGUGUAGGAUAGGUGGGAGGCUUUGAAGUGUGGACGCCAGUCUGCAUGGAGCCAUCCUUGAAAUACCACCCUUUAAUGGCUGGUGUUCUAACGUGGGCCCCUGAUCGGGGUUGCGGACAGUGUCUGGUGGGUAGUUUGACUGGGGCGGUCUCCUCCUAAAGAGUAACGGAGGAGCACGAAGGUCAGCUAAUCCUGGUCGGACAUCAGGAGGUUAGUGCAAUGGCAUAAGCUGGCUUGACUGCGAGCGUGACGGCGCGAGCAGGUGCGAAAGCAGGUCAUAGUGAUCCGGUGGUUCUGAAUGGAAGGGCCAUCGCUCAACGGAUAAAAGGUACUCCGGGGAUAACAGGCUGAUACCGCCCAAGAGUUCAUAUCGACGGCGGUGUUUGGCACCUCGAUGUCGGCUCAUCACAUCCUGGGGCUGAAGUAGGUCCCAAGGGUAUGGCUGUUCGCCAUUUAAAGUGGUACGCGAGCUGGGUUUAGAACGUCGUGAGACAGUUCGGUCCCUAUCUGCCGUGGGCGCUGGAGAAUUGAGGGGGGCUGCUCCUAGUACGAGAGGACCGGAGUGGACGCAUCACUGGUGUUCGGGUUGUCAUGCCAAUGGCAUUGCCCGGUAGCUAAAUGCGGAAGAGAUAAGUGCUGAAAGCAUCUAAGCACGAAACUUGCCCCGAGAUGAGUUCUCCCUGACCCUUUAAGGGUCCUGAAGGAACGUUGAAGACGACGACGUUGAUAGGCCGGGUGUGUAAGCGCAGCGAUGCGUUGAGCUAACCGGUACUAAUGAACCGUGAGGCUUAACCUU